rnacentral:rRNA from 1 species
GAUCCUGGCUCAGGAUGAACGCUAGCGGCAGGCUUAAUACAUGCAAGUCGUGGGGCAGCGCAGUGUAGCAAUACAUGGGCGGCGACCGGCAAACGGGUGCGGAACACGUACACAACCUUCCUACAAGUGGGGAAUAGCCCAGAGAAAUUUGGAUUAAUACCCCGUAACAUAUAAAGAUGGCAUCAUUUUUAUAUUAUAGCUACGGCGCUUGUUGAUGGGUGUGCGGCUGAUUAGGUAG